GAUGAACGCUGGCGGCGUGCCUAAUACAUGCAAGUCGAGCGAACGGACGAGAAGCUUGCUUCUCUGAUGUUAGCGGCGGACGUGUGAGUAACACGUGGAUAACCUACCUAUAAGACUGGGAUAACUUCGGGAAACCGUAGCUAAUACCGGAUAAUAUUUUGAACCGCGUGGUUCAAAAGUGAAAUACGGUGGUGCUGUAACUUAUAGAUGCAUCCCCGCUGCAUGAGCUAGUUGGUAAGCUUACGGCUUACCAAGGCAAGGAUGCAUAGCCGAAGGGAGAGGGGGAUCGCCGACCUGGGAACUGAGACACGGUCCAGAGUCCUACGGGAGGCACCAGUAGCGAAUCGGACGCAGUGGGCGAAAGCCUGGCAGAGCAACGGCAAGCGAGAGAUGACGGUGCUCGGAGCGGAAAACUCUGUUAUGAGUGAAGAACAUAUGUGUAAGUAAAUGUGCAGAGCGUGACGGUAACUAGUAAGAAAGCCACGGCUAACUACGUG
rnacentral:rRNA from 1 species